rnacentral:rRNA from 1 species
GAUGAACGCUGGCGGCGUGCCUAAUACAUGCAAGUCGAGCGAACGGACGAGAAGCUUGCUUCUCUGGUGUUAGCGGCGGACGGGUGAGUAACACGUGGAAAACCUACCUAUAAGACUGGGAUAACUUCGGGAAACCGGAGCUAAUACCGGAUAAUAUUUUGAACCGCAUGGUUCAAAAGUGAAAGACGGUCUUGCUGUCACUUAUAGAUGGAUCCGCGCUGCAUUAGCUAGUUGGUAAGGUAACGGCUUACCAAGGCAACGAUGCAUAGCCGACCUGAGAGGGUGAUCGGCCACACUGGAACUGAGACACGGUCCAGACUCCUACGGGAGGCAGCAGUAGGGAAUCUUCCGCAAUGGGCGAAAGCCUGACGGAGCAACGCCGCGUGAGUGAUGAAGGUCUUCGGAUCGUAAAACUCUGUUAUUAGGGAAGAACAUAUGUGUAAGUAACUGUGCACAUCUUGACGGUACCUAAUCAGAAAGCCACGGCUAACUACGUG